AAACAGAUACAUAGGUUUUAACAUAGACAAAUCCAAGACAUUAUUGAUUAUUCUGAAAAAUUUAAUGUAGAUGGUGCAAUUUUAUUUUUAGACUUUACUAAAGCUUUCGACUCACUUGAGUGGUGCUUUAUGUUUGAAUCUUUAAAAAAAAUGGUUUUUAAAAAAGAAUUCAUAAAAUGGGUUGAAACUAUGUAUACAGACAUAAAAGGAUGUAUUUUAAAUAAUGGAUGGGUGUCUGCCCCCUUCAAUACAUUUCGUGGGAUUAGACAAGGAUGUC
rnacentral:lncRNA from 1 species